AUGGAGGUGAUGAUCCUUUCCCUAGCUGAUCGACUAGGAUUAUAAUGUGCUGUUUUGUUUAAAUCUCUUUUUCAACAGAAGUGGUUUUCCAAGCCAGUACUCUGAUCCAU